rnacentral:rRNA from 1 species
CCAGCUAACGCAUUAAGUUGACCGCCUGGGGAAGUACGGUCGCAAGAUUAAAACUCAAAGGAAAUUGACGGGGGCCCGCACAAGCGGGUGGAGUAUGUGGUNUAAUUCGAUGCAACGCNGAAGAACCCUUACCUGGUUCUUGACAUCCCAGAGAUUCCCUUGGAAACUUGGGAGUGCUUCCAUUAGGAAGAAUCUGGAGACAGGUGCUGCAUGGCUGUCGUCAGCUCGUGUCGUGAGAUGUUGGGUUAAGUCCCGCAACGAGCGCAACCCUUGCCUUUAGUUGCCAGCAGUUCGGCUGGGCACUCUAAAGGGACUGCCGGUGUUAAACCGGAGGAAGGUGGGGAUGACGUCAAGUCCUCAUGGCCUUUAUGACCAGGGCUACACACGUACUACAAUGGCCGAUACAAAGGGCAGCGACAUCGCGAGAUGAAGCCAAUCCCAUAAAUUCGGUCUCAGUCCGGAUUGGAGUCUGCAACUCGACUCCGUGAAGUUGGAAUCGCUAGUAAUCGUGGAUCAGCAUGCCACGGUGAAUACGUUCCCGGGCCUUGUACACACCGCCCGUCACACCACGGGAGUCGGUUGUACCAGAAGCAGUUGAGCUAACCGCAAGGAGGCAGGCUGCCAAGGUAUGGCUGGUAACUGGGGUGAAGUCGUAACAAGGU